ACUGCAAUAGGAAAGGGCAAGAUUACAGUAAGGACGAGGAAGAUAUUCAGAAGGCGGGUGGAGAGUGAUACCAAUUCUGAUAGUGAAGAUGAUGACUUGGUGACAAACCUAAAUGAAGCAGACAAUUUAAAUGUUGAUUCUUUACAUUUGUCGGAGUAGGAUGAUGGACAUGAAAGUCAUGGAAUAUAGGAGAGCGGUGAAGCAGGUGAAAGCAGCGGAUCUGAAAAGGAAGAGGCAAAUGACCAGGCAAUGGACAUAGAAUCGUCAAUAGAUGGUAGACGUUCAUCUGAGUCCAGCCACCAACCUGAUGAUCGUGGAACAACAUUAUUAGGGACUAAUUAGAUAUUUGGAUGAACUUCUAAGUUUGAUGGAGUUGUUUUGUAUUGUUAGCUACUCCACUAAUGUUUUGAAUAUUUAAACUAAUUUAU